GGCUGCUGCCUGCUGCCUGUGGGAACCGCAACACGCAUGAGAUGUGCACACAACAUGGGUGCACAUUAGGGAAGCCAGAUCUCCUUAAAAGGCCGCGAGACCAAAGCGACGGAAGCAGUGGUCUGUGGCUCUUCUUAUGAUGCUGUGCAGAGGCCUCUUGGAUAGGCAUUCACAUGACGUGUGAUUGACAAAGGUUACCAUGACUACAGCCCUGUCCAUGCGGGGUGGGUAGAAGGCUUCAGUGUUGCAGCAUCCCCCACAGCGGUGCAGGGCCACACAGCGAGGGAGGUAGAGCUGGCUCGUGGAGUCGGGGUAU